GGAGCUACGCUUAAGAAAGUUGGUUCGACUUGGGUGGAAUCUUAAAAGCAGGGAUUGAUUUAGAUGGAUUAGGGCUAAAUUUCCGCUCUUCUUUUGGGAAAUUUAUCGGGGAUCGGAAAAAUCGCCUUUUUCGGUUGACAAAUAGAAUGUUCCGCCUAAGGUCUCUGGUUUAGGAUUCUGCUCGUUGGUUCCUUACUUCGAAAGGAUCUUUCACGACUUCAUCUCUUCGGCAUAUAGUGGAUGGUUACUUUCUGCAAUCUUCUCCUGAUGAUAAAGCCACGUUAUGGAACAAGCUAGUUCCUAGGAAAGGAUCGUGUUGAAUCGUGGGUUAUUGUUUACUCGGUUGUAUGGUCUUCUCAUCGCUUUGGAAUUGCAUCUUUUAAGUGGUAGAAUAUCAACUACAUUAUACCCUC